UGGGGAAUAUUGCACAAUGGGGGGAACCCUGAUGCAGCGACGCCGCGUGCGGGAUGACGGCCUUCGGGUUGUAAACCGCUUUCAGUAGGGAAGAAGCGGAAGUGACGGUACCUGCAGAAGAAGUACCGGCUAACUACGUGCCAGCAGCCGCGGUAAUACGUAGGGUACAAGCGUUGUCCGGAAUUAUUGGGCGUAAAGAGCUCGUAGGUGGUUGGUCGCGUCUGCUGUGGAAACGCAACGCUUAACGUUGCGCGUGCAGUGGGUACGGGCUGACUAGAGUGCAGUAGGGGAGUCUGGAAUUCCUGGUGUAGCGGUGAAAUGCGCAGAUAUCAGGAGGAACACCGGUGGCGAAGGCGGGACUCUGGGCUGUAACUGACGCUGAGGAGCGAAAGCAUGGGGAGCGAACAGGAUUAGAUACCCUGGUAGUCCAUGCCGUAAACGAUGUCGACUAGCCGUUGGGAUCCUUGAGAUCUUAGUGGCGCAGCUAACGCGAUAAGUCGACCGCCUGGGGAGUACGGCCGCAAGGUUA
rnacentral:rRNA from 1 species